AGUCGUCCGCAGAGCAGCCCCUCCCGGCCGCGGCCGCCGACCCCGGACCCCGGCCCCCGGCCAGGCUCUAUGGACAGGAGCUCGCUGCUGCAGCUCAUCCAGGAGCAGCAGCUGGACCCCGAGAACACAGGCUUCAUCGGUGCAGACACCUUCGCUGGCCUGGUGCACAGCCAUGAGCUGCCCCUGGACCCGGCCAAGCUGGACAUGCUGGUGGCCCUGGCUCAGAGCAACGAGCAGGGCCAGGUCUGCUACCAGGAGCUGGUGGACCUGAUCAGCAGCAAGCGCUCCAGCAGUUUCAAGCGGGCCAUUGCUAAUGGACAGCGGGCACUGCCCCGGGACGGGCUGCUGGACGAGCCAGGCCUAGGUGUCUACAAGCGGUUUGUGCGUUACGUGGCCUAUGAGAUCCUGCCUUGUGAGGUGGACCGCCGCUGGUACUUCUACCGUCACCGCAGCUGCCCACCCCCCGUGUUCAUGGCCUCGGUCACCCUUGCCCAGGUGGGCCCCCCAGCCACUGCCCCGGGAGCCUCCCGCGCUCCUGGCCAUGACCAGCCUAACACUCGUGUCCCCAGAUCAUCGUGUUCCUGUGCUACGGGGCCCGCCUCAACAAGUGGGUGCUGCAGACCUACCACCCUGAGUACAUGAAGAGCCCCCUCGUGUACCACCCCGGGCACCGCGCCCGCGCCUGGCGCUUCCUCACCUACAUGUUCAUGCACGUUGGGCUGGAGCAGCUGGGGUUCAACGCCCUCCUGCAGCUGAUGAUCGGGGUGCCUCUGGAGAUGGUGCACGGCCUGCUCCGCAUCAGCCUGCUCUACCUGGCAGGCGUGCUGGCAGGUGAGGCAGGCGCGCACCCCCGCCCCCUGCCCUGGCCGGCUGCACCCUCACCCGCCGCUUGCUCACACAGGCUCCCUAACCGUCUCCAUCACCGACAUGCGGGCCCCGGUGGUGGGAGGCUCCGGCGGGGUCUACGCCCUGUGCUCGGCACACCUGGCCAACGUUGUCAUGGUAACGGGCCUGCCCGGUGGGGGGCGUGGGGAGGGGCCCCAGGUGAGCCUCACCGCUUCUCGUCUGCACACCCCCAUAGAACUGGGCUGGGAUGAGAUGUCCCUACAAGUUGCUGAGGAUGGUGCUGGCCUUGGUGUGCAGUGAGUAGGGGCUGGGGGGAGGGCCGGGGGGCCUCUCGGCCUGUAGCCAGGGCACCUCCCACCUGCCGCGUCCCUCUGCAGUGAGCUCCGAGGUGGGCCGGGCCGUGUGGCUGCGCUUCUCCCCGCCGCUGCCCGCCUCGGGCCCACAGCCCAGCUUCAUGGCGCACCUGGCAGGAGCGGUGGUGGGGGUGAGCAUGGGCCUGACCAUCCUGCGGAGUUACGAGGAGCGCCUGCGGGACCAGUGCGGCUGGUGGGUGGUGCUGCUGGCCUACGGCACCUUCCUGCUCUUCGCCGUCUUCUGGAACGUCUUCGCCUACGACCUGCUGGGCGCCCACAUCCCCCCACCGCCCUGACCGGCUACCUGAGGCUGCACAGGCCAGGGCUCGGGCAUGUGGUGGCCGCCCACCUGGGGCCUUCACGUCUGCCCUUUGUGAACGGACGUCUCAGGGCUGCUGUGCCCCUUGGGUGUGGGUGGCCUCAAAGGAGACCCUGUUCCAGCCACCCCCCUACCCCCAGGACUUGCCGUCUGAGCCUUUUUGGAUAAUUAAUAAAUAUUUUACACAGC
rnacentral:sRNA from 1 species